rnacentral:rRNA from 1 species
CUGCCAGACUCCUACGGGAGGCAGCAGUGGGGAAUAUUGCACAAUGGGGGGAACCCUGAUGCAGCGACGCCGCGUGGGUGAAGGAGUAUUUCGGUAUGUAAAGCCCUAUCGGCAGGGAAGAAGGAGGACGGUACCUGACUAAGAAGCCCCGGCUAACUACGUGCCAGCAGCCGCGGUAAUACGUAGGGGGCAAGCGUUAUCCGGAUUUACUGGGUGUAAAGGGGGCGCAGACGGCAGCGCAAGCCAGGAGGGAAAGCCCGGGGCCCAACCCCGGGACUGCUCUUGGAACUGCGCGGCUGGAGUGCAGGAGGGGCAGGCGGAAUUCCUGGUGUAGCGGUGAAAUGCGUAGAUAUCAGGAGGAACACCGGUGGCGAAGGCGGCCUGCUGGACUGUGACUGACGUUGAGGCUCGAAAGCGUGGGGAGCAAACAGGAUUAGAUACCCUUGUAC